UUUUCAUGAUGAUAAACUAUUUUUACCAGUUCUGCUACUGAACCACUGUGAUCAGAGGACCAAAUACCAAACUUGCUGAAAU
rfam:Anopheles christyi strain ACHKN1017 cont1.6361, whole genome shotgun sequence.